GUGGCUCCUCUAGGUGAGCAGCCCUCAGUGCGCAUCUCCCUGAAGUCCACAUUGAUCCGGCAGAGCUGUGGGGUUCACAGCUCACACUGAGGCAUUCAGGGCCUAAACCCCACUUUACUCUUUUGUACAAUGAAUGGGAAAUCAGUGAUCUAAAUGAGUUUAAAUCUUAUUAGGGAUUCAGCCUGCCCUUCAGACUCUGUCUCUAUUCCUCCCAGAGCUGGGUUCAACAUGAAUUCAAAUACAAAUAUGAGACAAUGAAUUAUGGUAGUGACAAAGACCUUCCUUCGAAUUUCGGAUUUUUCUAGCAGCCCCUUUCUUUCUGCUUCCCACCUGCCUUCAACUCUUUCUCCUAAAAAAGUUCAGUUGGGGUGAACGUUUGGUGACUUAGAACAUCAUUAUUUUAACGUGAUCCCAAAGCGGUUUUCAUUAUAUGCAAAGCUGUAUAUUUAUUUACAUUUUUAAAAAUGUUCUAAAUUGGUUUCUUAUGUCCAAAAGAAGGGGAGCUAGUUAUAAGAAAAGAGAAUUGAGUAACAUAAGAAAGUGCUAAUCAUUUCAAAUUAAAGUGGGAAACAUGCAAAGCAGAAAGAAUCAAUUUCAUAAACUCAACAAAUUAUUAACAUAAACAAUUCCAAACUCUUGUAUCUAUAUAACAUCAGUGAUCUGUGAGGUGAAAUGAGAUUCUGAAGAAAAACUAAAUAAUAAGGCCAUUUUUCUAAGCCAAAAAAGUUUUUGUCAUUAAUUGUGGAAUUUCACCAAUCAAUUUUUUUCUAAUAAAAGUUUCUUAAACUUUUAGUGCCUACUAUUGCUUGUAGGUUAAUAAACCCUAGCAGAAAACAAAAUCAUUAAUGAAAUGGAAAACAAACAUUAAUGGGAAAUUUGUGUAACCUUAAUUCUUAACGUGUCUUAUGAGUUAAUUUUUAAAAUGUGAAGUUUUAUUCUUGGUGUUUGGUAAUUAACUAAGUUUAUUAAUCUCUCACAAAUAUGAGGAAUUUUAUUCCCUAAAGGAACGUGAGGAACACGAGUAGUUCAAGAAAAUGCUGAAGAUGCGCUUGGCUGGGAAGCUAGGAUAGGCUGACGAAGUCAGACUUAGUGUGGGAACCUGGCUGGGAAAGGGUUUCUUUUGGCCAUAAAAGCUACUCCAAUGGCUGUGGGAGACUUAAUUCCAAUUCCAGGUGAUACAGCCGUCAGUCUCCCACUAGCUGUAGGAUGGUGUGCUGCAGUUCACAGGGUAAAGGAGAUAGAAGUGGAUGAAAUGAGAGAGUAUUUUUUUAACUGAACUCUGAUUAAUGCCAAAAGUGUUCAAUCACUAUGUGUGGGGAAGCUUCCUGGUACAAAGGAAAAAAAACAGGUUGUUCAUACACUUGGCUGUGUUAACCUAAGUCAAUGUUAGUCUACUACUGUACAUCUGGUAACCUCAAUCCCUGCAACCGAGGCAAAAUGGGAUUCCAGGUCUUGGCAACCUUUGAAAUUCCAAUUCCAUUUGCGAGAGCUUUGAGGAGGCCAUAUGCUGAUUUUACCACCAGCAACUUCACAACCCAGUACUGGAAUGCCAUCAGCCAGCAGGCCCCUGCCAUCAUCUGUGACUUCUAUCUGUGGCUCACUGGAAGGAAACCCAGACAAGGCCAAGCUGGGUGAAAGAGCAAUCAGCCACCUCUGCAACCUGCCACCUCCUGCUGGCAGGAUUUGUUUUUGCAUCCUGUGAAGAGCCAAGGAGGCACCAGGGCAUAAGUCUACUCACUUAUAUCUGUUUGUCUGAAACAUAAC
rnacentral:lncRNA from 1 species